AUACUCAGCAGGCCUGAUCCCCACAAAGCAAGGACUGCAUCUUUGUGAGAGAGUGUCAGCUUCAUCUUUCUGCAGGAGGCGUCUCCCCACCAUCAUGGUGAAACUUCGGAUGGCUCAGAACCUAAAAACAGCAAUUACCUUCAUUGAACAAGGACAUGUGCGGGUUGGACCAGAAGUAAUAACUGACCCAGCCUUCCUGGUGACAAG